AAUUUUGCACAAUGGGCGAAAGCCUGAUGCAGCAACGCCGCGUGUGUGAUGAAGGUCUUCGGAUCGUAAAGCACUUUCGACCGGGACGAACAACCUCUGGCUAACAGUCAGGGGCCUGACGGUACCGGGAGAAGAAGCACCGGCUAACUCUGUGCCAGCAGCCGCGGUAAUACAGAGGGUGCAAGCGUUGUUCGGAAUUAUUGGGCGUAAAGCGCGUGUAGGCGGCUUGUUAAGUCGGGUGUGAAAGCCCUCAGCUCAACUGAGGAAGUGCGCCCGAAACUGGCGAGCUUGAGUGUCGGAGAGGAUGGCGGAAUACCCCAAGUAGAGGUGAAAUUCGUAGAUAUGGGGUGGAACACCGGUGGCGAAGGCGGCCAUCUGGACGACAACUGACGCUGAGACGCGAAAGCGUGGGGAGCAAAC
rnacentral:rRNA from 1 species